rnacentral:rRNA from 1 species
GCUGGCGGCGUGCUUAACACAUGCAAGUCGAACGAUGAAGCCGCUUCGGUGGUGGAUUAGUGGCGAACGGGUGAGUAACACGUGGGCAAUCUGCCCUGCACUCUGGGACAAGCCCUGGAAACGGGGUCUAAUACCGGAUAUGACUACUGAUCGCAUGGUUGGUGGUGGAAAGCUCCGGCGGUGCAGGAUGAGCCCGCGGCCUAUCAGCUUGUUGGUGGGGUGAUGGCCUACCAAGGCGACGACGGGUAGCCGGCCUGAGAGGGCGACCGGCCACACUGGGACUGAGACACGGCCCAGACUCCUACGGGAGGCAGCAGUGGGGAAUAUUGCACAAUGGGCGAAAGCCUGAUGCAGCGACGCCGCGUGAGGGAUGACGGCCUUCGGGUUGUAAACCUCUUUCAGCAGGGAAGAAGCGAGAGUGACGGUACCUGCAGAAGAAGCGCCGGCUAACUACGUGCCAGCAGCCGCGGUAAUACGUAGGGCGCGAGCGUUGUCCGGAAUUAUUGGGCGUAAAGAGCUCGUAGGCGGCUUGUCACGUCGGAUGUGAAAGCCCGGGGCUUAACCCCGGGUCUGCAUUCGAUACGGGCAGGCUAGAGUUCGGUAGGGGAGAUCGGAAUUCCUGGUGUAGCGGUGAAAUGCGCAGAUAUCAGGAGGAACACCGGUGGCGAAGGCGGAUCUCUG